rnacentral:rRNA from 1 species
AGUGAACGCUGGCGGUAGGCCUAACACAUGCAAGUCGAACGGCAGCACAGUAAGAGCUUGCUCUUACGGGUGGCGAGUGGCGGACGGGUGAGGAAUACAUCGGAAUCUACUUUUUCGUGGGGGAUAACGUAGGGAAACCUACGCUAAUACCGCAUACGCCCUACGGGUGAAAGCAGGGGAUCUUCGGACCUUGCGCGAUUGAAUGCGCCGAUGUCGGAUUAGCUAGUUGGGGGGGUAAAGGCCCACCAAGGCGACGAUCCGUAGCUGGUCUGAGAGGAUGAUCAGCCACACUGGAACUGAGACACGGUCCAGACUCCUACGGGAGGCAGCAGUGGGGAAUAUUGGACAAUGGGCGCAAGCCUGAUCCAGCCAUACCGCGUGUGUGAAGAAGGCCUUCGGGUUGUAAAGCCCUUUUGUUGGGAAAGAAAAGCAGCAGGUUAAUACCCCGCUGUUCUGACGGUACCCAAAGAAUAAGCACCGGCUAACUUCGUG